UGCUUUGGGGAUUCCCUGAGUAAACCUGCCCAAACGUGCCUGCGCUUUCGUCUAGCACUUGCAUCAGUAGCAAUAAUAUAAUGCCCUUUCAAUUGUGAUACUGUAAAUGGCCUCGCGUCCGACCAUAGACGAAGUAAUGUUCUUGUCAAUCUGCGGUGAAAGGUCUAUAGUAUAUCUGAAACGUGGCAGACAGAACUGAGAUCAAAUCCAAUUGUGUCUGCGCUUUUGAAC